CCGCAAAAUUCGACGCAUACACAAAAGAGCAAAAAAAUUCAUCCUCUUGGUCCUCCAAUUUUACAGAACAUGUUAUUAGUUGACCACUUUUGUAGAAAGGACUUAGACGUACACUACCUCUCCAAACUACCCAGAGACGACCACGUCUGUUGUAUUCAUAAUUUGUCAACACCGUCCAAUCAUUGAACAACUGACUUCCCAACCGAAACGCGUUUCUCUCCUUUACUCUUGUUUCUAUCAAACAACCAAACUUGAAAUUCUGAUCAGUUACCCAUUUCUUAAUAACGGAAUGUUUUGAUGAUUUGUUGAGGCCGCGAACAUUCCAAAAGAAACCCGACAUUAAAGAUGUUUGGGAGGGAUCCUUUUACUCUGAUCUCUAGUUCGAUCCCUAGUAGAUUGAGUAGAAGGGUUUGAUACGAUUUUGUGAGCUGUUUUUGAUUCUCGGGGAAGUGAAGGACGCAACGAGAGCUCUGCCUUACUCCCCUUAGGCUUUAUUGGACCUGGAGCUUCUUUAGUUACCACAAGAGACG
rnacentral:lncRNA from 1 species